GAGAAAUCGUAAGGUACCUGAGGAGCAGCAAAUUUCACUCAACACUAAUGAGGGUCAAACAGCAUUACAGAGGUGAUUUAGCGCCGCCAGUCUGAAGCAGGUGUUCAUCAUGGCGAGCUCGACCAGCGGAUCUCUCUGUGUUCCUCUGCUCCUCUCCCUGCUGUCUGCGGUUCUUCUGCCUGAAGACAGACUUGACUCUUGGCUUGGAAGUCGUCUGGCUGUGAAAUACUCUUCUGGGUGGACUUUGAAGCAGCAUUUCUUCAGCGCAGGGAGCUUAGCAGGAGCCGAUUCAAACCAAAUGCAUGCAGCAGUCACUGUGGAACAGUAUAGGACCAAUAAAAAAGAGACUUAAAGAUUUGGGAACCACUUUUGAUCCUUAAUUAUUUUCAAGCUCUCCUGCUACUUGACUCAUACAAGGAGGUCAAACUGUUGGGCCAGGGGAAAACUGCACCAUAUUGCAUUCGGCCCCUCCGUUCUACCGCAGCCGAUGGCUCCAAUUGGGAAGUGGUGAUUUGGAUGACCCCCGCGGUCUCCACCACCUGUGCUAUUUUUCCAUGUCUGGAGGGCGAGAAGAUUUCUUCUGCCAGUAAUUCUCUUCUCAAUGGUCUAACACCUCGG
rnacentral:lncRNA from 1 species